rnacentral:rRNA from 1 species
GUGACGAAGCGACGCCGCGUGUGGGAAGAAGGCCUUCGGGUUGUAAACCACUGUCGGGAGUUAAGAAAUGUAAGGGUGCUAAUAGUAUCCUUACUUGACUAAGGCUCCGGAGGAAGCCACGGCUAACUCUGUGCCAGCAGCCGCGGUAAUACAGAGGUGGCAAGCGUUGUUCGGAAUUAUUGGGCGUAAAGAGCACGUAGGCGGUUCUGCAAGUCGGCUGUGAAAGCCUUCCGCUCAACGGAAGAACAGCAGUGGAUACUACAGGACUAGAGUGCGGGAGGGGAGAGUGGAACUUCUGGUGGAGCGGUGAAAUGCGUAGAUAUCAGAAGGAACGCCGGCGGCGAAAGCGACUCUCUGGCCCGUAACUGACGCUGAGUGUGCGAAAGCUAGGGGAGCAAACGGGAUUAAUACCCCGGUAGUCCUAGCCGUAACGAU